rnacentral:rRNA from 1 species
UACGGAGGGGGCUAGCGUUGUUCGGAAUCACUGGGCGUAAAGCGCACGCAGGCGGAUCGAUAAGUCGGGGGUGAAAGCCCGGGGCUCAACCUCGGAAUUGCCUUCGAUACUGUCGGGCUAGAGUCCGGGAUAGGUGAGUGGAAUUCCUAGUGUAGAGGUGAAAUUCGUGGAUAUUAGGAAGAACACCAGUGGCGAAGGCGGCUCACUGGCGCGGUACUGACGCUCAGGUGCGAAAGCGUGGGGAGCAAACCGG